rnacentral:rRNA from 1 species
AAAAGCAUGGGCUAAAUCCGUGCCAGCAGCCGCGGUAAUACGGAGGAUGCGAGCGUUAUCCGGAUUUAUUUGGGUUUAAAGGGUGCGUAGGCGGACGCUUAAGUCAGCGGUAAAAUUGCGGGGCUCAACCUCGUCGAGCCGUUGAAACUGGGUGCCUUGAGUGGGCGAGAAGUACGCGGAAUGCGUGGUGUAGCGGUGAAAUGCAUAGAUAUCACGCAGAACUCCGAUUGCGAAGGCAGCGUACCGGCGUCCAACUGACGCUGAAGCACGAAGGCGUGGGUAUCGAACAGGAUUAGAUACCCUGGUAGUCCACGCAGUAAACGAUGAAUGCUAGUUGUCCGGGGCGAUUGAGUUCUGGGUGACACAGCGAAAGCGUUAAGCAUUCCACCUGGGGAGUACGCCGGCAACGGUGAAAGUCAAAGGAAUUGACGGGGGCCCGCACAAGCGGAGGAACAUGUGGUUUAAUUCGAUGAUACGCGAGGAACCUUACCCGGGCUCAAACGGGGGGCGCGGGCGGCAGAGACGCCGCCGUCCUUAUGGACGUCCCCCGUGGUGCUGCAUGGUUGUCGUCAGCUCGUGCCGUGAGGUGUCGGAUUAAGUUCCAUAACGAGCGCAACCCCCGCGCGCAGUUGCUAACGGGUCAGGCCGAGGACUCUGCGCGGACUGCCGGCGCAAGCCGCGAGGAAGGCGGGGACGACGUCAAAUCAGCACGGCCCUUACGUCCGGGGCGACACACGUGUUACAAUGGGGGGUACAGCGGGAAGCCAGGCGGCGACGCCGAGCGGAACCCGAAAGCCCCUCCCAGUUCGGAUCGGAGCCUGCAACCCGGCUCCGUGAAGCUGGAUUCGCUAGUAAUCGCGCAUCAGCCAUGGCGCGGUGAAUACGUUCCCGGGCCUUGUACUCACCGCCCGUCAAG